rnacentral:rRNA from 1 species
AUGGAGGUAUCCACCUUACCCUGCUUGCUACUUGUGUCAACUGCACUGGCACUCUGUCGUGCAGCUGCAGCACGGCCUGAAAGUGCAACAACAAACCUUGAUGCAGCCACAAUGGCCGCGCAAGAGCGUGACCGUGUCGCGUCGCUGCCGGGGGCGCCGAGCUACCCAUAUGCGUUCAAGCACUACUCCGGGUACGUCACGACCGAUGAGCGCCUCGGCAAGGCACUGUUCUGUUGGUUCUUCGAGGCUAUGGAGAAGCCUGACGAGAAGCCACUGGUCCUAUGGUUAAAUGGAGGACCUGGCUGUUCUUCCGUUGGGUUUGGGCAGGCGCAGGAGCUCGGGCCAUUUCUUGUGAAGAAAGAUGUGCCUGAACUUGAGCUCAAUCCGUAUGCCUGGAACCAAGGCAACUGCCAACUUGCUGUUCCUGGACUCUCCAGCGGUGUUGGAUUUUCGUACACGAACACGUCUUUCAAAAUAGAUCCACCGGGAGACAAUUCCACGGCACACGGUUCAUACGCUUUCCUCGUCAGGUGGUUUCAGAGGUUCCCCCAGCACAAAAUGAAAGAGUUCUACAUAGCAGGAGAGAGCUAUGCAGGACAUUACGUUCCCCAACUUGCCAAUCUCAUCGUGGACGAGAACAAGAAAGCCUCCAACGAAAACUACAUAAACUUGAAAGGCAUCCUGGCUAAUAACUUAACUAAACAAAAUGAAUUGCAGAUCGGGAACGCGUACAUGGACGGGGACACGGAUCUGCAGGGGAUCGUCGACUCGUCGUGGCACCACGCCAUCAUCUCGGACACGCUCUACGAAACCUACCUGAGGUCCUGCAACUUCAGCGCGGAGAUCCUGUCUCGCGAGUGCGAGGUGGCCCUGGGCGAGUUCAGCGUCCUCAACAACCUCAUCGACAUCUACAGCCUCUACGCCCCCAACUGCGAGCGCGGGUACCCGGACUUCAACACCUCCUCCUCGCCGCAGAUCGGACCGACCACCAGCCGUUUUGAUCUUCUCAGGAUACCGAUGGGCUACGACCCGUGCACGCAGACGUACGCCACCGAGUAUCUGAACCGGGAGGACGUGCAGAGGGCUCUGCACGCCAACACCACGGGCGUGCCCUACCCCUACUCUCUCUGCCGCGACUCUAUCAACGUCUUGUGGCACGAUUCUGACAAGACCGUGCUUCCGAUCGUCAGGAAGCUCGCGCAGGAGGGGCUCCGCAUAUGGAUCUUCAGCGGCGACACGGACGGAAGGAUCCCUACGACGUCGACGAGGUACACGCUGAAGAAGCUCGGCCUGCCCAUCAAGGAGGACUGGUCGCCAUGGUUCACUCACAAGCAGGUUGGUGGAUGGAGUGUGGUGUAUGAUGGCCUGACAUUUGUCACGGUGAGAGGAGCCGGACACAUGGUGCCAACCUCGCGGCCCGAGCAGGCGCUUCAGCUCUUCGAGCACUUCCUCGCCAACCACAACCUCCCCUCCAAGCCCUUCUAG